GAAUUGACGGGGGCCCGCACAAGCGGUGGAGCAUGUGGUUUAAUUCGAUGCAACGCGAAGAACCUUACCUGGUCUUGACAUCCACGGAAGUUUUCAGAGAUGAGAAUGUGCCUUCGGGAACCGUGAGACAGGUGCUGCAUGGCUGUCGUCAGCUCGUGUUGUGAAAUGUUGGGUUAAGUCCCGCAACGAGCGCAACCCUUAUCCUUUGUUGCCAGCGGUCCGGCCGGGAACUCAAAGGAGACUGCCAGUGAUAAACUGGAGGAAGGUGGGGAUGACGUCAAGUCAUCAUGGCCCUUACGACCAGGGCUACACACGUGCUACAAUGGCGCAUACAAAGAGAAGCGACCUCGCGAGAGCAAGCGGACCUCAUAAAGUGCGUCGUAGUCCGGAUUGGAGUCUGCAACUCGACUCCAUGAAGUCGGAAUCGCUAGUAAUCGUGGAUCAGAAUGCCACGGUGAAUACGUUCCCGGGCCUUGUACACACCGCCCGUCACACCAUGGGAGUGGGUUGCAAAAGAAGUAGGUAGCUUAACCUUCGGGAGGGCGCUUACCACUUUGUGAUUCAUGACUGGGGUGAAGUCGUAACAAGGUAACCGUAGGGGAACCUGCGGUUGGAUCACCUCCUUA
rnacentral:rRNA from 6 species